GACGAACGCUGGCGGCGUGCCUAAUACAUGCAAGUAGGACGCAGUUGCGAACGGGUGAGUAACGCGUAGGUAACUACCUAUUAGAGGGGGCUAACUAUUGGAAACGAUAGCUAAUACCGCAUACUAGUAGAUGGACCUGCGUUGUAUUAGGUAGUAGGUAGGGUAAUGGCCUACCUAGGCAACGAUACAUAGCCGACCUGAGAGUGUGUACGACCACACGGGGACUGAAACACGGCCCAGACUCCUAAGGGAGGCAGCAGUAGGGAAUCUUCGGCAAGAGGGGGAACCCUGACCGAGCAACGCCGCGGGAGUGAAGAAGGUUUUCGGAUGGUAAAGCUCUGUUGUGAAGGAAGCGGUACUUAACAAGAAAGGGACGGCUAACUACGUGCCAGCAGCCGCGGUAAUAC
rnacentral:rRNA from 1 species